rnacentral:rRNA from 1 species
AUUGAACUCUGGCGGCGUGCCUAAUACAUGCAAGUAGGACGCAGUUGCGAACGGGUGAGUAACGCGUAGGUAACUACCUAUUCGCGGGGUAUCACUAUUGGAAACGAUAGCUAAUCCCGCAUACUAGUAGAUGGACCUGCGUUGUAUUAGCUAGUAGGUAGGGUAAAGGCCUACCUAGGCAACGAUACAUAGCCUAACUAGGAGGGUCAUCGGCCACACUGUGACGUGGACACUGCACAGACUCCUACGGGAGGCAGCAGUAAGGAAUCUUCGGCAAUGGGGGGAACCCUGACCCAGCAACGCAGCGUGAGUGAAGAAGGUUGUAGGAUCGUAAAGCUCUGUUGUUAAGGAAGCGGUACUUAACCAGAAAGGGACGGCUAACUACGUGCCAGCAGCCGCGGUAAUAC